rnacentral:tRNA from 1 species
UGCGUUUGUAGCUCACGUGGAUAGAGCGACGGACUUCGAAUCCGUAGGUAGGGGGUUCGAGUCCCUCCAGACGCAG